rnacentral:lncRNA from 1 species
UUUUCUGGAUUUUUAAGGUUUAAGACAUUGUACCAGGCACAGUUCCUGUUUGUUCCUAGAGAAACCCUCUGGGACAAGUGGGACCCUGGCAGUAUCUUAUUUAGGAAACUUCAAAUGAUGCCGUUGACUCUCAUGUUUGCACUAAAAUGUUUCCUGGCUACAUCUGUAUAUUUAGGUUGUUGUUGUUGUUGUUAUGCUUUGACACUGGAAUGAGUUGCAAAAAAACCCUGUGCCACUUUGUGAUUUCCUGCCUCAUUUAAAUACUCUCAUCUCUAAACCCCAAGCUCUUCUCUUCGCACUCCCUGCUCUCAGGAGGGCCUUUUUCCAGGCUUGACAAUACUUAGGUGUGACUAUAAAUCAUGAAAACAGGUAAAAGGGAGGGGAAAGCCCGAACUGCUGUGGGGACAUUUUCUAAUCUAUAUGCUGCACCCAUGGACCGACAGUGGUGUUUUCUUUACUGGUUUUACAUAAUUUCAACGUCUAUAUAUUAUAUGUGUAUAUAUUUUUAAAAGAAUCUAUAUUUUGGGAAAAAGUCUAUACAAUGUGUCUUCUUUUCAGAUUUUUUUACCUUUAUGAAAAAGAAAACAUCUAAAGGCUCACCAGCAUGUGACUGACUGGGCCCAAGAUGGGCUCUGCGGUGGUCUCUGCUGUGAGGUUCCAGCUAUCGUCUUUGUCUCCAUGAUGUUUCUUAGCCAGAUCGGAGUAGCUGGAAGAACAGUCUCCGGCUCCUUGCUUGUGUUUCCCUUCCUUAGCAGAUAACCCCAGCAGCAAACUAAGCCACUCUUCAGAGAGCUAAGCUAACUGAUCUACAACCCUCCUUUAUACAUUUGUGGGGUGUGUUUGUUUGUUUGUUUUUUACUGUAUUUUUAAAUGAAUGUAUGAUGAGAAAUUCAACAUGAAUAAUUUUGGAUUUUCUUAUCACAAAAAAGAUAAAACAAAGGACCUCAACCAACUGAAGAGUUGACCCCGCCAGUCUGCGUCUCUCUGUCUUCACUUGAAUGUCUUUGAGAAUAUGUAAAAAGGAGCCACAUGCACCUCCACGCAGUGUGCAGGACGAGAACUUCCGUCAUUGUAUAUAGGCCUCUGCCCCGUCUCCCCUUAAGGUUAUCCACUGUGCUUGAUGAGUGAGCAGUCAAUACAUCUGCUGCCCGUCGGCAUUCUGGGUUAAUAAAACUAUAGGAAUUAUUUCACAAACAAACUAUGGAAAGCAGUAUUAAAAUCUGAGUUCUGUAUCUACUUUAAUAAAUGUUUUGGGUCUCUUUG